GCUGGAGAGAACAGCAGAAACAAGCUGUGAAUGAGUCUGGAGAGAGCGGCCGAUGCUGAGCCGCCAUGCUUCGCUCCACGGGCCGCCGCUUUCCAGGUUAUGAGCAUGUGUGUAUCUGGCGCCCCACCAAACCCAAGCGCUGCUCGCUGGCAGAGUGUGUGUGUGCCGUGCUAUUCUACAGAUUCAGAGCUGAACGACUGCCGAAGACGAUCGCCAGAUCUACUUGUGUGCUGUGAGACAGAGCUACUGAGUUCUUUAAUCCAGGGAAUCUCAACCAGUGGGUCUGAUGGGUCACAGACGGCAGAUCCUGUGCAGAUCGUCUCUCGGAGUCUCUCUACAGCCCAAACCGCCCAAAACAUCCCCGUGUCGGUCCAAACAUCAUGUUUCAUCUGAGCGUUUAACGCGACGGAGCGCUGCCGUUUGUGUGUGUAAUGUAUCAGUGUGUGAUUUCUGACAGAGGAAGUGUGUGUUGUGCCAUCGAUCUGCUCUCAGACAGCUCUUUCUGCUCCGCUGACAGACAGUGAUGGAGGGCGGCGAGCGGGCGGCACUGACUCCAGACCAGUGACACUGUCCCACGCUCACAGCGUCUAUUGAUCUGCUCUGGAUGGACGGCUGGAGACAAACACGCGGCUUACAGCCGGUUUAGAGCUGGUUCUACGCCGCUAAACUGAACAAAUCUAGAAUGAACUCAAGCACAGCUCUAAACUUCACAACUGACUGAAUCUAAUUCCCUUUAUAUCUUCCUUUCGAUGUUUUAGUGUUGUAUCUGAAGUCUGUUUAAAAGCUUACGAAGCCCUGUACACCCUUAUGAGACAGAGAUUUACACCGACAUGUCUUAAAGUCGACAUUUCCUUCCUCCUCUUGUGUUCCUGUGUGUUUAUGGCCAGAAUGCAUGUGUUAGAAACAAAAUUUAGUUUGUUUUACUCAAAUUUAGUUAGUAUUUAGUUUAUUUAAUGAAUAGUAUUCAUUAUUUUAAAUUAGCUUUUCUUUCUGUAUUUUCAGUUUUAGAAAAUGUAUGUCUUUAUUUCAUUUUUGCUUGCUUUAUGUAUGUACUUUCCCCCUCGCCCCAGUACUUUAUUUCAAGUUUGUUUUCCAUCUAAUGUUUUAUUAUAGCUUUAUUUCAAUUAACAAAAAGGUUUCUAGUAGUUUUAGUUAACAAUAAAAACACUGCUGUCUUUAUUUCA
ensembl:lncRNA